GUGGCGACCGGGUGAGUAACACGUGACUAACCUACCUCCGAGUGGGGAAUAACUCCGGGAAACCGGGGCUAAUACCGCAUAACAUCGCAAGAUCAAAGCAGCAAUGCGCUUGGAGAGGGGGUCGCGGCUGAUUAGCUCGUUGGCGGGGUAACGGCCCACCAAGGCGAAGAUCGGUAUCCGGCCUGAGAGGGCGCACGGACACACUGGAACUGAAACACGGUCCAGACUCCUACGGGAGGCAGCAGUGGGGAAUUUUGCGCAAUGGGGGAAACCCUGACGCAGCAACGCCGCGUGGAGGAUGAAGCCCUUUGGGGCGUAAACUCCUUUCGACUCGGACGAUAAUGACGGUACGAGUGGAAGAAGCACCGGCUAACUCUGUGCCAGCAGCCGCGGUAAUACAGAGGGUGCGAGCGUUGUUCGGAAUUAUUGGGCGUAAAGGGCGCGUAGGCGGUGCGGUAAGUCACCUGUGAAAUCUCCUGGCUUA
rnacentral:rRNA from 1 species